AGGCGGUUUGAUAAGUCAGCGGUGAAAUAUUUCAGCUUAACUGGAAGGGUGCCGUUGAUACUGUCAGGCUUGAAUUUAGUUGCUGUGGGUGGAAUGUGUGGUGUAGCGGUGAAAUGCAUAGAUAUCACACAGAAUAUCGAUUGCGAAGGCAGCUCACAAAGCUAAAAUUGACGCUGAUGCACGAAAGUGUGGGGAUCAAACAGGAUUAGAUACCCUGGUAGUCCACACUGUAAACGAUGAUAACUCGCUGUCGGCGAUACAUAGUCAGUGGCCAAGCGAAAGCGAUAAGUUAUCCACCUGGGGAGUACGACCGCAAGGUUGAAACUCAAAGGAAUUGACGGGGGCCCGCACAAGCGGAGGAACAUGUGGUUUAAUUCGAUGAUACGCGAGGAACCUUACCCGGGCUCGAACGGUGCAUGAAUGAUUCAGAGAUGGAUCAGUCCUUCGGGACAUGUAUCGAGGUGCUGCAUGGUUGUCGUCAGCUCGUGCCGUGAGGUGUCGGCUUAAGUGCCAUAACGAGCGCAACCCUUGUCGUUAGUUACCAUCAAGUAAUGUUGGGGACUCUAGCGAGACUGCCACCGUAAGGUGUGAGGAAGGGGGGGAUGACGUCAAAUCAGCACGGCCCUUACGUCCGGGGCGACACACGUGUUACAAUGGUAGGUACAGAGGGCAGCUACCCAGUGAUGGGGUGCGAAUCUCAAAAACCUAUCUCAGUUCGGAUUGGAGUCUGCAACUCGACUCCAUGAAGUUGGAUUCGCUAGUAAUCGCGCAUCAGCCAUGGCGCGGUGAAUACGUUCCCGGGCCUUGUACACACCGCCCGUCAAGCCAUGGAAGCCGGGGGUGCCUGAAGUUCGUGACCGCAAGGAGCGACCUAGGGCAAAACUGGUAACUGGGGCUAAGUCGUAACAAGGU
rnacentral:rRNA from 1 species